rnacentral:misc_RNA from 1 species
UUUCCGUAGGUGAACCUGCGGAAGGAUCAUUAUUGUAUAACCGAGAUGCGAGGGCUGUCGCUGACCCGAAAGUUCGUGCACGCCCGAGUGCCCUCACACACAUCCAUCUCACCCCUAUGUGCACCACCGCGUGGGUCCCCCUUUGGCUUGUUCGGAGGGGGGCUUACGUUUUCACACAAACUUUGUAUGCAGUGUAGAAUGUAUUUUUUGUUUUUGCGAUCACGCAAUCAAUACAACUUUCAACAACGGAUCUCUUGGCUCUC